GAGUUGUAAUCUGGCGGGGCGCCACUCAGCCGGCGCAGGCCUUCGCAAGAUGGCGGCUGGAGGCAAGGGCAGAGGCCUUCAGAGCGUUUUCUUUUUCCCUUUCCUCCCUUCCUGCAAACAAUUGAGGAAACUGAGGCACUGGAAGAUGAAGGCUACAGAGGUAGAAAGUGAUGGAGACAGCGCCAGCCAGCCUCUCCCUCUUGGACUUUUCUAGGGGACAAUCAGGCACCAGUCUCUGCACUUCCUGAACUCCAGGGAACACAGGGUCUCACUCUGUUGCCCAGGCUGCAGUGCAAUGGCAUGACCACGGCUCACUGCAGCCUUGGACUCCUGGACUCAAGCAAUUCUUCUACCUCAGCCUCUUGAAUAGCUGGGACCACAGGAGAUGCCAUUCCAAGAAAACCAUGGAAGCAGAAAAGAGGAAAGCAGAAACACAGAUGAAGCAAGAGGCUAUGUCCUCUGUGCAUGGAGACAGCAGAUCUAUUAGUAGACAGGAUGAAGAGAAAAGGGUGCAGCUCCUGACUUCAUCACUGCAAAUGGAGUCCCAGCCAUCACCCCAUGCUUCAAGCAGCAGAAAGGAGGAGACGAGGAAGAUGAAAAGUGGAAAAGGGUGUACCCUAUUCAUCUUUUAUGGAAGUGGCCUUAAACAAGGCAGUCCCCUCCAUGAGAGGCCUGGCUGUUAAAGAGAAUCCUAUAUUCAUCUGCAGUGGAAUGAAAAUGAAAAUAUCCAUCUUAGAGUGUGAUUGCAGUAUAUAGGUCUGGCAUGAAAUGAAUUAGCAGGUAAUCAAGAUUUUAAAAAUAACUAGUAGUAAGUAUAUUAUUGUUAAACUUACAUUAAUGUAUUAAUGAGAAAUUAUAACUCAUUGUUGUGAAGUUUAAAACAGGUUGAGAGUCACCAUCGAAUUGCCAUGGAUGUGCUCUGUUGGGUGCUAGUUGGGUGAUAUGACAGGUGGGUUAGCAAGAUCAAAAGUACAAGGUCACACCUGGCAAAUGUGACUGUUAGUAACUCCCUGUUCUUAGUCUUAUUUAGUCCUUUAAAGGACUCUAAAAUGUCAUUCUUGUGUGAAUUUCUUUUAUAGACAAAUAAUAAUUGCUAAGAUCUACUGAGGGCUAAAUCCAGGUUGGGCACAAGGCUAAGCAUGUUGUCUCAUUGAAUUCUCAAAGUCUUAUGGGCUUAGCAUAGUGAGCCUGUGGAAGACCAGAAUAUGUCACUUCAAAAUAUGAAGAAUAGUUGCACUGAAGACAAGAAGAAGCAGAUGCAGGAAUGCCUUCUGCUUUCCCUUUACUUGCCUAGAAGUAGGACUUAGAUUUACAAAGACAAAAGGUAUUUUGCCUUCCUCUCUACCAGAAAGAACAAAGCUUAACCACUGAAGACAGCUUUAGCCCCUCAUCAGCCUAAAGAUGGCACCAGAAUAAUCUAUUUCAACACGCUUUAUUAACUAACAUUUAUCUGCCUGUUAUUUGCCUUCCCCCAAGUUGUUGCCCCUAGAGACUCGAAGUCCUUUUCCUUUGUCUUGUCCCUUCUCUAAAACUUUACUGUUCUUUGCUGAAGAUGCUAUAUAAGUUGGAAUUCAAAACCAACACCUCUUUGAGAACUACUCAUUUUCUGGUUUCUCCUAUGUCUAUAUGAAAUAUACCAGUUAACUGGUUUUCCUCUUGCUGAUCUGUCUUUGGUAUUAUGGCUCCAUUCAAACUAAGAACUCAUGGGGGUCAUUAUUUUUCUCCUACAGUCUGUUCAUGUUCCAUUCAUGGAAUUGAGGGUUAGAGAGAGGAAGUCAGUUUUUUAAGAUCACACAACUAGUAGGACAUAGAGAUCAAAACCAAAUUUUCAUGCCUUUAGCAUGAAUAUGACACUAUAUGGCCCCUAAGGAUCCUUGUCAUUGUUCUCAAUAAAGGUUAUACCUGUGUGGGUCCAAGGACACCCCUCAAUACUGGUGUUCCCAAAUGUGAAUGUGAGCUUAACUUUGUAAGGUUUAGCCUCUCCCGAGCAUUGGAUGCUCUGAGCCCCACAGGCAGGUUCUUGCUGCAGAUACCUAGUUCAACAAUGGCUUUUACACUUUGCCCACUAGCUCCAGUUUCACUUUUGAGUGGCUUAAAACACUCUUGUACUGCUGUUAUCUACUUCGUAUACAUUGUUUCUUUCUAGCUUGUCAAUUCUGUCUAGCAUAUUCUAUGCAUUUAACACAAUUUCCCCCUAAUACCUCAACCUGAAUUUUUCGAAGGACAUUUUGGAGGUGAGAAUCUCUUCAAUGUAUUUAUCUGUAUGGACAAUUCUUUAAAAUCUCCUCUUUAUUUUUCAAGGUCUUUUUCUUCCCCUUAGCAAAUCACUGAUUCCUUAGCUGAUGUCAUUUCUUCACUAUAUAUAAAACCAGCCCACCCGCCCCACAGAAAAACCAUGAAAAGGUGACUAGCAAACAAAUGUAAUAUAAAACUAGUAAAUAAACAUGCAAAAAUAUUCAAUCUGGCUUGUAAUUAGAUAAAUGCUAGUUUUAAAAAUAUAGGGAGAUACUUUACUUGCCUAUUGUAUCAAUAAAAAUUAUUUAUAAUUGAUAAUAUCAAAUAUUUACAAAAUUAUGGUGAAAUUGAUAUUCUUUACUCCAAUGAAAAUGAUCUAAGCUUCUGGAAAACAAUAUCUCACUAUGUAGAAAGUGUCACAGAAAUGUUCGUGAGUGUUGAUCUAAUAGUCCUGCAACUAGCAAUCUUUCACAAGUAACUAAUAUGAAAGGGAAAACUCAUAUACACAGACAUGUUCCUUUUAGCAUUAUUUAUUUUAAAAAGCCAAAAACUAAAUAUCUGCUUGUAAGAGAAUGUCUAAAUAAAUGUGAUGUCUUUAAUUCUGGAAUAUUAUACAGUCAUUAAAUAUAUGUAGUUUUAUGCUUAUGAUCAAAUAUUUAAAGAAAGGAAAUUAGUGUGUAGGCAUACCAUAAUUAUAACGAUAUGCAAAAUUAGAAUAAAGUUUUAAAGAAAUUGAUUUAGAAAAUAAUCAUUACAAAGGCUUAUCACAAGUAUAUUUCCAUUAGUAGCUGUUAAACUGGGUGUUAAAUGAAGUAAUUUUGUG